rnacentral:lncRNA from 1 species
CCAAAUCGGCGCAAACACUGUUCUUCUUCUCCAAACAACAGAAUUCGUUCCCAAAAAUCGCCAAAAUUCAGGCGAGUGAAACCCAAACUCGCAUCACGCGUUUUAUUUUCUUUCCUCUUGCCAUAGCGUAAUUGUUUCUGACAAAUUCCCCCUCCCUCACAUGCUCUCUUUGAUUUUAGUUCAGAUUUUUCGCUCUUCAGAUGAAAAAAGGAAAAAUGGGGAGCGUUAGAUUGGAUUCGAGCUAAUAUACUCCCUCCAUUUGUCCCUCUUUCAUCAGAAACGGGGUAAGAAAUCAGUUUGGGGGAGGAUUUUUCAUUUUGGGGGGUUUUCGUGGAGAGAAAGGAAGAAGAUUCGAGAAGACCUGAAGGUCUAUAAAAUGUGAGAACGUUUUCUUAUUCUGGGGAUUUUUUUUGAAGAAUAUUUGGGGAAACGAUUUGAGAGAGAUUUCGGAAGAAAGUUAAAAUUAGGGUUUGAGAUUUUUGUUCUUCAUUUUUUUAUUGUUCUUUUAUUUCUGGUACUAGAAUAGAAGAAAAAAAAAUCACUAAAUGUUCUGCUAUUUCAUUUCUAUGUCGAUUAUUGUUUAAAUUUUUUUGAAAUCUCUAGAGUCCAUCUUCUUCAUUUCGAUUAUGGAUUUUGGUUUAAAAGUGGAAGUCAUUUGAGAAGUUCGAGUCUGUUGCUGCUCGAGGGUUGAUUUUCAGCUGCUAUUUGCUUCCUUUGGGUCGAUUUCAGGGUUGUAUUAAUUCAGUCUCUUAAUUCCAGGUUCAUUUCUUUUCUUCUCUUUAGUUCUCGUUGUGAAUCGAUAUCCGAAUGAACUAUAAAACGGGUCGAAGUUUAAAGUAAUAGCUGAGAUUUGUGUGGUUAUCUUAGUUUCAUUUUGCUGCUCUGUUCUUCUUAUUUUCAGCUUCUUCCAUGAUUUCACAUGUGUGCUAACGCAUGUCCAUAUAAUCCUCUGGCCUCAGAAUUGGUUGGUUGCCAGUCGAAUAAGUUUAAAUGGCUCGUGUAUUUGUGAAGUUCAUGCUUGUUUGUGUACCAGGUGCCAAUCAGUCGAGUUACGAGUAGUUUUGUUCAUGCCUUAAUGCUGAAAAUGUACAGACUAUCUUGACACUAGAUUUCCAAUCAGUUUGCAUUCUCUGUUUACUGGUUCCUAUUCCCAGUGAUUUGUUUUCACCUUUAAAUAAGAUUGGAUUAUCUCAGCUCUAAAACACUGAUUUCUUUUAGUUAGAUGGAGAAAACUUGAUAGCUUUCCGCUUCUCUGUAGAUUCUGUGCAAAUUGUUUUACUCAAGAUGGGAUUGAAUUGGAGUUUUGUUGGUGUAUUGCUGUCUUUGCUAAGCUACUUAUCCAUAUAACUUUACACUCGAAGGAACAUUGAUAUGUUGAAGAGAAAAUCGAUCCAUGAACUAAGUUUAGCGAUUGCUUCUUGGUUCCUUGUUCAUGCUUAGAGCCACAGAUUUCUUUUAGUGUCGAACACAUAGCUGAUGAAUGUUCGCUUGGAUCUCGUAGUGCUGCAGUGUUAUCAUGAUGAGUUUUGUGCUUGGCUGCUUGAAUCUGCCUAACCUUGGUAUAGCUUAAAUGUGAUGAGCCUUUAAAACAGGCCUGCCUAGUCUCAUUUAAAGUUUUCAGGCAAAAUAAGUUCACUGCUCUUGUUUGAUGUUUGUUCAAAUUAAGGAAAUCUGGAUUCAAGUGUCAGAGUGUUUUUAUAAAAUUGGUGCAAACCUUCAAUUGAUGUGUUGUUUCAUAUUUUUAUGAGUUCAUACCUAGGGAUGAUGAUUGUUUAUUAAGGGUUAGCAAGCCUAAGGUCUGUUACUAGAAGAAAUACAGUGAGAGGGAGGGGUGAUCGCAG